rnacentral:tRNA from 1 species
GCCCCCGUCGUCUAGCGGCCAAGGACGCCGGACGUUCAAUCCGGUAACGGUGGUUCGAAUCCGCCCUGGGGCACCA